UUUAGUUGGUUCAGCUUACGGGGCGAAGGGUGAACACUAGAGGUACUUUUUAGCAGCGUGUGUUUGCAAAAAAAGAGGUCUACCAUAAAUUUAUCCUGCCAUUCGAGAAACCACUUAUCCAACGGUUCAAACACGAAAAUCAUGGUGGUGUACCUAAUACGUAGGUAUGCUUAGGUACAUACUGAAAUAUCGAAAAAAUGUACUCGUGUGUUAUUAUGAAUUAGGAAAAAUGCGCAAUUUGGGAUCCCUUAACUUUAGAUGUACGGUUCAAUGCAGUAUCUUUGUAUCGACAGCGGAAAGUGGCCAAUUAGUUAGUUAAUUGCAGGCAUGGCUCGCGCUGUUUGUAAAAAUUUGGACAUCCCUCGUAUUACGAGUUUUCCUACUGCACAUAAUGCCUACAUUUAUGCAGAUUACGUGGAACCGCAAUGCAUUAUCUUAAGAUUUCAUUGCGUCAUCUAAAAAAGAGAGGAGUCGUUACCGCGCUCUCGCGACAGUACAUACGAUGGGCGAAAUAAAUUUGUGCAUUUGUGAAACAAUUUGGAUUAUAAAUAUGUCGUUUGGGAUUUUUGGCAAAUAAGGAGUCAUGCAUUAGCAAAGGUAAUAAAUAAGCUCUUCAAAUCGGACUGUAUACGAUAUUACAUAUUUUUCUUUUUUCUAAUUUCAUACCUACGCCUACGAUUUUAUUAAGGGGCCGCCAGUGGAAAUAUACGGAUCGAAUCCCUAUAAAAAACAUCCAUACCUACAUAAGCCUUUUCUAUGGAAUUCUUCAGUGUGAACGGCGUUAACAGACGUACCAGAAUGUUUAAAUACGAAUUUUGGAACUACGGCCAGGCGGCGAUGGGGCGGACAAUUGCGGACUCCUUUUGGUGAAUAAGGGAUUAAAUUUCAACCUCGUAUGUCCGGUCAAUGAAACAUUUUUGCAACCGACGCGUUUGGGCAAACGUUUGGGUAUAAUUAUAAAAAGAACCAGAACUAUUGCGAAGCGGCACUUGUGGAUCGUGUGUCGAAAAUUUCCUUUACGAGGUAGAGCAUUCCAAAAUUUUGUGUGGAUAUUUGUUUGAAAAUAAACAACAUUUUUGUGUGUUUUUAUAACCCUCCAACUGACUGCUGCAAUGAUGAUCAAACUAGUGAGUUCUAUUCUAGACCACCUGAAAAUGCAUUGCGCUAGGUCCGAAAUUAAUCAUCACUAACGUAUUUUUCGAAAGUACCAGUUUGAUUUCGAUUGCAGGCUGGGGUUCUUGUCAAUGACUUUUUAGCCUCCCAUUUGGCAUUUGACAUUCAAUUCUAGUACUUUUUUGUUCUAAGGGCGUUAGUUAAGUGUGAUUUAGAGUCGGUCCUCCAGUAACUUUUCUAGGGAUUUUAUAUUAGUGCGAUUUCACUAUCAUAUUUUUGGAAAGUUUGGAUGUACGUCACUAGCUAAAUUAAUAUAACUCUAGCAUU